GUGGGGAAUUUUGGACAAUGGGCGCAAGCCUGAUCCAGCCAUGCCGCGUGUGUGAAGAAGGUCUUCGGAUUGUAAAGCACUUUAAGUUGGGAGGAAGGGCAGUAAGUUAAUACCUUGCUGUUUUGACGUUACCGACAGAAUAAGCACCGGCUAACUUCGUGCCAGCAGCCGCGGUAAUACGAAGGGUGCAAGCGUUAAUCGGAAUUACUGGGCGUAAAGCGCGCGUAGGUGGUUCAGCAAGUUGGAGGUGAAAUCCCCGGGCUCAACCUGGGAACUGCCUCCAAAACUACUGGGCUAGAGUACGGUAGAGGGUAGUGGAAUUUCCUGUGUAGCGGUGAAAUGCGUAGAUAUAGGAAGGAACACCAGUGGCGAAGGCGACUACCUGGACUGAUACUGACACUGAGGUGCGAAAGCGUGGGGAGCAAACAGGAUUAGAAACCCGUGUAGUCC
rnacentral:rRNA from 1 species